CCUACGGGUGGCAGCAGUGGGGAAUAUUGCACAAUGGGGGAAACCCUGAUGCAGCGACGCCGCGUGAGUGAAGAAGUAUUUCGGUAUGUAAAGCUCUAUCAGCAGGGAAGAAACCCACCCUCCGGGGUGGCUGACGGUACCUGACCUACAAGCCCCGGCUAACUACGUGCCAGCAGCCGCGGUAAUACGUAGGGGGCAAGCGUUAUCCGGAUUUACUGGGUGGAAAGGGAGCGUAGACGGCGAUGCAAGUCUGAAGUGAAAGGCGGGGGCCCAACCCCCGAACUGCUUUGGAAACUGUAUGGCUAGAGUGCAGGAGAGGUAAGUGGAAUUCCUAGUGUAGCGGUGAAAUGCGUAGAUAUUAGGAGGAACACCAGUGGCGAAGGCGGCUUACUGGACUGUAACUGACGUUGAGGCUCGAAAGCGUGGGGAGCAAACAGGAUUAGAUACCUGUGUAGUC
rnacentral:rRNA from 1 species